AGCUGGGGUGUUAGCGGUACCCUGCACCGGCAAUCCGCUAUAGCCGGGGUGAUUUUUCCGAUUGAGGGUGUGUGGAGGGAGGAGCCUGCCCUUUGAAAGCGGUGUUGAUGUUUGGGUCUCACGCAAUGGGGGCUUGUGAACCGUGUCAGGUCAGGAAUGAAGCAGCACUAAGCAAGUUUUCCAUGUGCCGUGAGGGUGCCUGGGCUGAGCUGGCUACUUAGGUA
rnacentral:SRP_RNA from 1 species